UACGUAGGUCCCGAGCGUUGUCCGGAUUUAUUGGGUGUAAAGCGAGCGCAGGUGGUUUAUUAAGUCUGGUGAAAAAGGCAGUGGCUCAACCAUUGUAUGCAUUGGAAACUGGUAGACUUGAGUGCAGGAGAGGAGAGUGGAAUUCCAUGUGUAGCGGUGAAAUGCGUAGAUAUAUGGAGGAACACCGGUGGCGAAAGCGGCUCUCUGGCCUGUAACUGACACUGAGGCUCGAAAGCGUGGGGAGCAAACAGG
rnacentral:rRNA from 1 species